AGGAUGAACGCUGGCGGCGUGCUUAACACAUGCAAGUCGAACGAUGAUCCCAGCUUGCUGGGGGAUUAGUGGCGAACGGGUGAGUAACACGUGAGUAACCUGCCCUUAACUCUGGGAUAAGCCUGGGAAACUGGGUCUAAUACCGGAUAUGACUCCUCAUCGCAUGGUGGGGGGGUGAAAGCUUUAUUGUGGUUUUGGAUGGACUCGGCGGCCUAUCAGCUUGUGGUGAGUAUGGCUCACCAAGGCGACGACGGGUAGCCGGACCUGAGAGGGUGACCGGCCACGACUGGGACUGGAGACACGGCCCAGACUCCGUACGGAGGCAGCAGGUGGGAAUGUGCACGAAGUGGGACGAAA
rnacentral:rRNA from 1 species